rnacentral:rRNA from 1 species
GACGAACGCUGGCGGCGUGCUUAACACAUGCAAGUCGAGCGGUAAGGCCCUUUCGGGGGUACACGAGCGGCGAACGGGUGAGUAACACGUGGGUGACCUGCCCUCAGCUCUGGGAUAAGCCUGGGAAACCGGGUCUAAUACCGGAUAUGACUCCAUGACGCAUGUUGUGGGGUGGAAAGCCUUGUGCGGCUGAGGAUGGGCCCGCGGCCUAUCAGCUUGUUGGUGGGGUGAUGGCCUACCAAGGCGACGACGGGUAGCCGGCCUGAGAGGGCGACCGGCCACACUGGGACUGAGACACGGCCCAGACUCCUACGGGAGGCAGCAGUGGGGAAUCUUGCGCAAUGGGCGAAAGCCUGACGCAACGACGCCGCGUGAGGGAUGACGGCCU